GACGAACGCUGGCGGCGUGCUUAACACAUGCAAGUCGAACGGAAAGGCCUGUCCUUCCUUGUUUUGGACGGGUACUCGGGUGGCUAACGGGUGAGUAACACGUGAGUGAUCUGCCCCCAGCUUAGUUAUAAGCCUGGGAAACUGGGUCUAAUUCCCUAUAGGACUGCAGGGUGGUGCCUUUGGUGGAAAACGAUUUUCUAGUUGUUGAUGAUGCGCUCGAGCACUAUCAGCUUGUUGGUGGGGUAAUUGCCUACCACGGCGGGGACGGGUAGCCGGCGUGGGAGCGUGGACGGUGACAUUGAGACUGAGACACGGCCCAGACGCCGAGGGGAGGCAGCAGAGGGGAAUAUAGGACAAUGGGCGGAAGCCUGAGGCAGCGACGCAGUGUGGGAGAUGACGGGAUUGGGGUGGUAAACUCCUUGCGACCGCGAGGAAGCCGCGUGGUUGGAAGGGUGGUGACGGUAGUGGUAGAAGAAGCAACGGCUAACUACGUG
rnacentral:rRNA from 1 species